rnacentral:rRNA from 1 species
GACGAACGCUGGCGGCGUGCUUAACACAUGCAAGUCGAACGGAAAGGCCCUGCUUUUGUGGGGUUCUCGAUUGGCGAACGGGUGAGUAACACGUGAGUAACCUGCCCUUGACUUUGGGAUAACUUCAGGAAACUGGGGCUAAUAUCGGAUAGGAUCUCCUGCUGCAUGGUGGGGGUUGGAAAGUUUCGGCCGUUGGGGCUGGACUCGCGGCUUAUCAGCUUGUUGGUGGGGUAGUGGCUUACCAAGGCUUUGACGGGUAGCCGGCCUGAGAGGGUGACCGGGGUCAAUGGGCCUGCGGGAGGCACCAGUCUGGAACGUGAGGCAACAGUCGGAAGUAUUGCACAGUGGGCGGAAGUCUGAUGCAGAGGCGUCGGGUGCGUAAAGCCCGCCUUCGGGGUGUGAACAGCUUUCGGCUGUGACGAAGCGUUAGUGACGGUAAUGAGUAAAGAAGCACCGGCUAACUACGUG